rnacentral:rRNA from 1 species
AUAGGGGAGCCGGAGGGAAACCGAGUCUUAAUUGGGCGUUAAGUUGCAGGGUAUAGACCCGAAACCCGGUGAUCUAGCCAUGGGCAGGUUGAAGGUUGGGUAACACUAACUGGAGGACCGAACCGACUAAUGUUGAAAAAUUAGCGGAUGACCUGUGGCUGGGGGUGAAAGGCCAAUCAAACCGGGAGAUAGCUGGUUCUCCCCGAAAGCUAUUUAGGUAGCGCCUCGUGAAUUCAUCUCCGGGGGUAGAGCACUGUUUCGGCUAGGGGGCCAUCCCGGCUUACCAACCCGAUGCAAACUGCGAAUACCGGAGAAUGUUAUCACGGGAGACACACGGCGGGUGCUAACGUCCGUCGUGAAGAGGGAAACAACCCAGACCGCCAGCUAAGGUCCCAAAGUCAUGGUUAAGUGGGAAACGAUGUGGGAAGGCCCAGACAGCCAGGAUGUUGGCUUAGAAGCAGCCAUCAUUUAAAGAAAGCGUAAUAGCUCACUGGUCGAGUCGGCCUGCGCGGAAGAUGUAACGGGGCUAAACCAUGCACCGAAGCUGCGGCAGCGACACUGUGUGUUGUUGGGUAGGGGAGCGUUCUGUAAGCCUGUGAAGGUGGCCUGUGAGGGUUGCUGGAGGUAUCAGAAGUGCGAAUGCUGACAUAAGUAACGAUAAAGCGGGUGAAAAGCCCGCUCGCCGGAAGACCAAGGGUUCCUGUCCAACGUUAAUCGGGGCAGGGUGAGUCGACCCCUAAGGCGAGGCCGAAAGGCGUAGUCGAUGGGAAACGGGUUAAUAUUCCCGUACUUGGUGUUACUGCGAAGGGGGGACGGAGAAGGCUAUGUUGGCCGGGCGACGGUUGUCCCGGUUUAAGCGUGUAGGUGUGUGUUCCAGGUAAAUCCGGUUCACUUUAACACUGAGGCGUGAUGACGAGGCACUACGGUGCUGAAGCAACAAAUGCCCUGCUUCCAGGAAAAGCCUCUAAGCAUCAGGUAACAUCAAAUCGUACCCCAAACCGACACAGGUGGUCAGGUAGAGAAUACCAAGGCGCUUGAGAGAACUCGGGUGAAGGAACUAGGCAAAAUGGUGCCGUAACUUCGGGAGAAGGCACGCUGACAUGUAGGUGAAGUGAUUUACUCAUGGAGCUGAAGUCAGUCGAAGAUACCAGCUGGCUGCAACUGUUUAUUAAAAACACAGCACUGUGCAAACACGAAAGUGGACGUAUACGGUGUGACGCCUGCCCGGUGCCGGAAGGUUAAUUGAUGGGGUCAGCGCAAGCGAAGCUCCUGAUCGAAGCCCCGGUAAACGGCGGCCGUAACUAUAACGGUCCUAAGGUAGCGAAAUUCCUUGUCGGGUAAGUUCCGACCUGCACGAAUGGCGUAAUGAUGGCCAGGCUGUCUCCACCCGAGACUCAGUGAAAUUGAACUCGCUGUGAAGAUGCAGUGUACCCGCGGCAAGACGGAAAGACCCCGUGAACCUUUACUAUAGCUUGACACUGAACAUUGAGCCUUGAUGUGUAGGAUAGGUGGGAGGCUUUGAAGCGUGGACGCCAGUCUGCGUGGAGCCGACCUUGAAAUACCACCCUUUAAUGUUUGAUGUUCUAACGUGGACCCGUGAUCCGGGUUGCGGACAGUGUCUGGUGGGUAGUUUGACUGGGGCGGUCUCCUCCUAAAGAGUAACGGAGGAGCACGAAGGUUGGCUAAUCCUGGUCGGACAUCAGGAGGUUAGUGCAAUGGCAUAAGCCAGCUUGACUGCGAGCGUGACGGCGCGAGCAGGUGCGAAAGCAGGUCAUAGUGAUCCGGUGGUUCUGAAUGGAAGGGCCAUCGCUCAACGGAUAAAAGGUACUCCGGGGAUAACAGGCUGAUACCGCCCAAGAGUUCAUAUCGACGGCGGUGUUUGGCACCUCGAUGUCGGCUCAUCACAUCCUGGGGCUGAAGUAGGUCCCAAGGGUAUGGCUGUUCGCCAUUUAAAGUGGUACGCGAGCUGGGUUUAGAACGUCGUGAGACAGUUCGGUCCCUAUCUGCCGUGGGCGCUGGAGAACUGAGGGGGGCUGCUCCUAGUACGAGAGGACCGGAGUGGACGCAUCACUGGUGUUCGGGUUGUCAUGCCAAUGGCACUGCCCGGUAGCUAAAUGCGGAAGAGAUAAGUGCUGAAAGCAUCUAAGCACGAAACUUGCCCCGAGAUGAGUUCUCCCUGAGACUUAGAGUCUCCUGAAGGAACGUUGAAGACGACGACGUUGAUAGGCCGGGUGUGUAAGCGCAGCGAUGCGUUGAGCUAACCGGUACUAAUGAACCGUGAGGCUUAACCUUACAACGCCGAAG